rnacentral:tRNA from 1 species
GGAGAGUUGUCCGAGUGGUCGAAGGUGCAACACUCGAAAUGUUGUGUUCCGCAAGGAACCUAGGGUUCGAAUCCCUAACUCUCCG